rnacentral:rRNA from 1 species
UACGUAGGGGGCAAGCGUUGUCCGGAAUCAUUGGGCGUAAAGCGCGCGUAGGCGGCCCGGUAAGUCCGUUGUGAAAGUCAAAGGCUCAACCUUUGAACGCCGAUGGAUACUGCCGGGCUAGAGUCCGGAAGAGGCGAGUGGAAUUCCUGGUGUAGCGGUGAAAUGCGUAGAGAUCAGGAAGAACACCGGUGGCGAAAGCGCUCUGCUGGACCUUAACUGACACUGAGGGACGAAAGCUAGGGGAGCGAAUGGG